rnacentral:rRNA from 1 species
GCGCAGCAGGCGAGAAACUUUACAAUGUGCGAAAGCACGAUAAGGGAACUCUGAGUGCCUCCUAAGGAGGCUGUUCAGGUGUCUAAAAGCACCUGAAGGAAGGGCUGGGUAAGACCGGUGCCAGCCGCCGCGGUAACACCGGCAGCCCAAGUGGUAGCCACGUUUAUUGGGUCUAAAGCGUCCGUAGCCGGCUGGGUAAGUUCCUUGGGAAAUUUGGCUGCUUAACAGUCAAGCUUUCAGGGAAUACUGCCCGGCUUGGGACCGGGAGAGGUCAGAGGUACUCCAGGGGUAGGGGUGAAAUCCAUUAAUCCUUGGGGGACCACCGGUAGCGAAGGCGUCUGACCAGACCGGGUCCGACGGUGAGGGACGAAGGCUAGGGGCGCGAACC